CACGUAGGGUGCGAGCGUUGUCCGGAAUUAUUGGGCGUAAAGAGCUCGUAGGCGGUGUGUCGCGUCGGCCGUGAAAACCUGCAGCUUAACUGUGGGCUUGCGGUCGAUACGGGCAUCACUGGAGUUCGGCAGGGGAGACUGGAAUUCCCGGUGUAGAGGUGGAAUGCGUAGAUAUCGGGAGGAACACCAGUGGCGAAGGCGGUUACCUGGAGCUUUGCUGACGCUGAUGCGCGAAAGCGUGGGGAGCGAUCCGG
rnacentral:rRNA from 1 species